UACGUAGGGUGCAAGCGUUAAUCGGAAUUACUGGGCGUAAAGCGUGCGCAGGCGGUGAUGUAAGACAGUUGUGAAAUCCCCGGGCUCAACCUGGGAACUGCAUCUGUGACUGCAUCGCUGGAGUGCGGCAGAGGGGGAUGGAAUUCCGGCGUGUAGCAGUGAAAUGCGUAGAUAUGCGGAGGAAACACCGAUGGCGAAGGCAAUCCCCCUGGGCCUGCACUGACGCUCAUGCACGAAAGCGUGGGGAGC
rnacentral:rRNA from 1 species